ACACGACUACAGCCCACAGGUAACACACACACCUGACUACAGCCCACAGGUAACACACACACCUGACUACAGCCCACAGGUAACACACACACCUGACUACAGCCCACAGGUAACACACACACCUGACUACAGCCCACAGGUAACACACACACACCUGACUACAGCCCACAGGUAACACACACACCUGACUACAGCCCACAGGUAACACACACACACACACCUGACUACAGCCCACAGGUAACACACACACACACCUGACUACAGCCCACAGGUAACACACACACCUGACUACAGCCCACAGGUAACACACACACCUGACUACAGCCCACAGGUAACACACACACCUGACUACAGCCCACAGGUAACACACACACACCUGACUACAGCCCACAGGUAACACACACACACCUGACUACAGCCCACAGGUAACACACACACACCUGACUACAGCCCACAGGUAACACACACACACACACCUGACUACAGCCCACAGGUAACACACACACCUGACUACAGCCCACAGGUAACACACACC